ensembl:rRNA 5S_rRNA 5S ribosomal RNA
UUAGACAGCCGGUUAGUGAAAGAAAUGGUAUUAAAAAUCUAGAGAUCUCAGAAGCUAAGCAGGGUCACGCCUGGUUAGUACUUGGAUGGGAGACCACCUAGGAAGACCAGGUGCUGUAGU